rnacentral:tRNA from 1 species
GCCUCCGUGGCGCAAUCGGCUAGCGCGUUCGGCUGUUAACCGAAAGGUUGGUGGUUCGACCCACCCGGGGGCG